UAUGUGAAAGAAUUCCCUGACCUCACACAGCUAGUUAAAUGGAAAUGGCAGAGCUGGGAUUUGAAUUCAGGGAAAUCUGAGCCCCUUCAUACAUUCAACAAAUACUUGCUGAGCAGCCCCCAUCAGCCAGACACUAUGGGUACCCUUGUGUUGUCUCCACUGGUGAUACUUGACACAGCCCUGUGAGACCCCCAUUUCUUCACUGGAGACAAGAGGGAAAUGUUUUCCCCACUGCAGCUGAGGAGCAGGCUGGCCGGGGUGUGGCCACCUGGCUUCCCACUGGACCCACUCUCCUGGACUUAGAGCCCUUCACCUCCAGGCCCUCUCCCCUGGCGGCUGGUGUUCAACUAUUGGGAGUUCUUUGAGGGUGGACUGAGCUGAGUCAUUUUUGAAUCCCAGCUGCCAGUGCAGGGCCUCGAUGCUAGCACUGUGAUCUUGGUGAUGGGUUGCAUGCCAGGGUCCUGAAGGCUGGGCAGCUGGAAAAUCUCCUAUACAUAAGGAUGUUGGGGAUGGAGAGAGAGAGAGAGAGAGAGAAGGUAGACACCACCACCAAUUUAACCUGCUUGGGUCAAUGAUGAUAAUACUCCCAUGUAUUGAGCAGUUAAUUUGUGCCAGUCACAGGCCUUAAGUCAUGUAAUCUUCACAGCGACCCUCUGAAGUAGGCUCUGUGGGUGCCCCACUUGCUAGAAGAAUAAAGAGGCCAGAGAAGUUAAGUUGCCCAGCUCACACUAUUAUCAACUGGUGGGACUACAUUUAAACCCAGGCAAUCUGGCCUGUGAAUUUACAUGCUCAGCCUCCUGCCAGCCUGCUUUACCUCUGCUCUCCAAGAAGGCCACCAGGGUGGGCUGGGAGGUCCCGCCUGUGUUAUAGGCCACAAGCACCACCUCCUGGACUUCUGAA